rnacentral:tRNA from 1 species
GGAAUAUUAUGACAAGACUCGAAGCUUCUAACUUCUUCUCAAGCGGUUAAAUUCCGUUUAUAUUCCUU